UCUACAAGACUAGCUCUCUACUCUGGACUGCCUGCACUGCAAAAAAGCCAACUUGUAUUUUUUGGCCUUAAACAGUGAUUUAAGUUGGUAAAACUUGGAAAUAUAAAUUGACAUUUAGGGCAAUAAUGGUGCCUGUUGCCGACCUUGCCUGCCUUCGACUUACCUGUUCUGCCUGACUGCUUGACAACCAAUCCACCUUCGAGUUCUGCUUCUGUGCUUCUAAUCCCUGUCUGUCUCUACUCUACAGGGUUUGGUGUCUGCUCUCUUCAGCAUCUCAGUAUGGACUGCUCUGACCUCUGACUCAGCGGGUUAACAACAUCUAUAGAACUUCUGCAACUCUAUCAGACUGGAAAACAACAUUACCCUCAAACAAACUGGUGCUUCUCUUCCCUUUUAUUUUGUUCCCGUCUGUCCUCGCCUGUGCCGUUGUAUUUUAUGUGCUUACAAUUGUAUUCAUGGAAAUAAAAUAAUUUUCACCUUUCUUUGAUUAAUUGAAAUAUAAAAAGAAUAAAAACUCAUCUUUUUUCUUCCUUCUUCCCUUCCUUCAAAAUUUUUUGAGCUGAUCAAAAAAAGCUGUAAAAGUGCUCCUGGCCUUUAACAUAACAUCUCCAAAGCUGAGAUUUAUUUUCA